CAUGCCAGCAUCGACCUGGACGGCUUCCCCAUCGACCACGAGUUCCCGGAGGACUAUGGGCUAGAGGAAGAGGACGAGUGCGACAUCGAAGUGGAGCCUUUGUUCGAGUAUGAGCUCGCCAAACAAACCGCCGGUCCUAAGUCAAAGCGCAAGAGCAAGCGCACGAAGGCGUACAUAGCUGCCGAAGACAAGCUUCUUUACGAGUGUUGGCGAGAUAUUGGACAAGACCCAAAGACGGGCGCCGAGCAAAAGCAUUCGACCUUCUAGACUCGUGUGCACCGCGAGUUUCAUGAUCGCAAGAAGUUUCCACCUUACCAAUUUGUGAGCACGCGCGGGUGGGUCUCCAUUUCCAAGCGGUGGAGGGUGAUCUAA
rnacentral:rRNA from 1 species